CUCACAGCGGCCGGCCGGGGAGUGCGGGAAGCGGGCGGCGCUUGGUGCGGCCGGCCGGUCGCUGUGAGGGGCGGCUGCGGGAGCCUCUGAGCCCGCUGGGCUUGUUGGGGGAGCCCGCGGUCCGCCGGCUGCGGGAGGGCCUGGCGGCGGGAGCAGGCCGCGGCGGGGAGUGCCCAGCGCGGGGCCCGUGUGGGGAGACAAGGCCGGUGUGAGACCUUGCACCAGGGAGCAGUGCCGGCCCUUGUAGUGCCUCUUCAGGGUUUCUCUUUUGGGGCACCUCCAAAAGUGCAGUGAGGGAUCCAGGAUUAACGGGAAUUAGCACCAGAUGCUGCCCCAGGCCUGGCUCCUGAGCCGGGCACGGCUGGUCACGGCUGAGGGACCCCCUCAGCAGUGGAAAAAAAACACUGGAGCUUUGCCUCAUGACUGCUGAGGGGUUCCCUGAUUUGGCGGAGGGUGAUUGUCUCUUCUGCCUCUAUGUAGCUGUCAGCUGGAGCAGGUGGAGCUCUCUGCAGCAAUGCAGGGCACUUGGUGUGGGGGUUUUGUGUGUUUGGGAGAUUUUUUUAAGGGGUAAAUGCAAGGCCCAGUCACUAGGUGCUGGGCCUAAACCGAGGGGGUGAGCCAUGCCUGCACCGCUGCCUUGGGGCUGUUCCAUGGGCAGAAUUUUGUUGCAGCUGCUCUGGCAACAGGAUUUUCUAUGUUAUCCUUUGGAAAUGUUUUCAAGCUCAACCCAGCUGAGCUGUGGGAGGGCUUCGUCUUUCAACCAGUGGUGGCCCAUGGGAAGAGCUGGUCUGUCCUCUUCUUCGCAGGCUGUGUGCUGUCCUGCCUUCCCCCUGCCACGGACAGGGUGGGUGGUGGGGCUGUCAGGCAAGGCCACCUUGUCCCUGGGGACUGGGGUUGUCCUCAGAUGUGGGCUGCAGUCAAUGCAAAAUGGACUCCAGAUCUGCAGUGCUGCCACAUGUUCCUGAUGGUUGGAUUAAUGAGGCUGUCCUAACGCAGUGAGCAAGGGCUGGUGCUUAUGAGACUGACCGGUGUGUAAAGUCUGCCCUUGCGUUUGGUAUGUGGGAGGAAGUUUACGCUGGAAACCAAACUGAUGUGUCAAAUGUGGGGUGUUUGGUAUGUGACAGCAUGCACUGGCCUCUGCUCCCUUCCCUGUAGCUGCUGUGUCUUCUCCAUGUGUUUGGGGCACUCGUUACACCCCUCCGUGGAUCCGCAGUCCCUGCAUGCCAGGAACAGCCACCACCUCAUCUGUGCACGGGCCUUAAGCAACAGACAUCUUGUAGCGAGGGGGCUUGAUGUCUCACGGGGUGAUGCGUUGAGCUCUCCUUGAUCAGGUUCCCUCUCCAUCUUUGGCUCGCAUCCCUUCCUCUGCAGUUACACUCAGUCACUUACACAGCCUUGUUUGGCUAGUGCUUGACCUGGGCUACCAAGAGGGCAAGAAAUAGCUGUGAAGUCCAAAUGAAGAAAGACUUGUACUCAGUCUUCCCUGUUCCCUGCCGUGCACUGAAUCUGAGGGCUUGCCAGGACCUUCUAGCCAAAUAAUUACCUCUUUGUUUCCAUAAGCCCAGGAAAGUGAAGGCUGGAAUGUGAUUCCAGCCCUGCAUUGUAGUGCGGGUACCAACAAGAGGAAGUAGAAGGUGACUUGUGGUUUUUGCCUUUAGGGGCUGCUAGAUGCUGGUGAAGAGCAGCCAUGCUUGUGACGUCGGGGAAUUAAGGCAGCGUUGAGUUUGUUUACAGGCAUGUAAGAGUUGUGUGUGCACAUGGGACAGAGGUGGAUGGAGCCUUGGUGCUACACAGUGAUGGAGCAGGAUCUUUUUUGCAAGACCAAUCCCAUGCUAUCCUAGCAGUUGCAGCUUGUGUCAUACCUGAGCUGAUCCUCCAUGCCAAGUUCCUCCCCAUCGCUGGCACAAUGUAUUUGCUGGAUUCCAGGCAAAAGCUUCUGAACUGAAAUAAUUCUGCAGAUGGAGACCAGGACUCCGCGUCACUUCAAGUCCUUCCCGUCGGGCCAGGGUCACUCUAGUGGGAACAUGGGACUCGAAGCAGCCUGCAGUGCAGGUGAAAGCCACAAAGCCAGCGGUGCAUGGCCGCUCACCAGCUCUGGAUGCUUGUUCCCACGCACAUCAGAGGCCGCUGCUGCUGCUGCCUUUGCUCGCCUCCCAUCGAUGGGGACAGCUUGCUCCCCUGUCCUGUCCUCCAGAGACUCAAGGUCCAGCUCAUCCCAUGCCUGUGCACAAGGAGUGGGGACAGCGGCCGGCAGGAAAAGCGAGCCAGGCCAGCUCAAAAUAGACUGCUUGUCGGAGUUUUCCAUGAGACCUUUGAGACUCCUUAUCUCCCCGCUGCUGUUCUGGCACAGGACGAGUUGCAGAUGGAGCAGCCUCUAUGAGCAACAUUACCUCCGUCACCCCAAAGCUUCCUGCCACCCGGACGGGACGUGAGGCCGUUGUCCUGUGGGAUAACGGCUGCUGCAGGGGGCACCGCAGCCUCUGGUUUAGCAGGACUAAUUGGGUGGAAGUAAAACCUGCCUAGUGUCAUGGGGGUGGGGGAUAUUGAGAAGCCUAGCUUUGGUGACAGCAGCUUUAGCAGAGUUUGGGCAUGCAGGCAUGGUAAGCUGUUAAAAAAAUGCCAGUAGCCAGAGGGUGGUCUUGUACCUCUCCUGCUGUAAUAGCUGCCUUGCUUUCAGCAAUGCAAAAGGCAGCAGGGGCAGCUCAAGCCACCCUAAGGUCUGUGAUCCUUCUUCUCUGUAAAAGUAAGUAUAUUCCCACCAGGAAGCAGGCAGAGCUGCUGCUUUGCUUGAUGGGAGGUUGGUCCUGCUUGCCAGGCUCCUGGCAUGAGCCAUGGGUUUGUGGGUCUGUGCUCAGGUGUCACCAAGCUGUAGGCUUGUUUGUAGCCCUGGGGAAGUUUUGGCAGUGUGACCUAGUGCUUUCCACAAGUGCUUUCCUGACCCUGUAAGGAUUUUCUUAUGGCCUUAAUGAGACAUCUGGGGGCAAUUAGUUUUCUGUUUUAUGACAUGCCUGGCUUUUCUCAUUGAAUGUGGCAUGGUGGGGCUGUGCUGGUUCUCCAGCCACAUCUGGGAAGGAAGGAGGGAAGGCAGCAGGAGCAGAGUCAAGCUUUGCAUCCAUCCUUCUCCUUCCCAGUGCUUUUGCUGCUGUGUCUUGUGUGCCUGUACAGAGUCCAGGUCCAGGCGUAAUCCCACGUGAGCUCAGAUGCUCAGCUAUAGAGGGUAAGGCCUGUUGUGACCUGUUGCUCUCAUGCAAGUCCAGAGAUUAAGGUUGAGCCUGCUUCCCACCCGCAGUAUCCUGAAGUUUCUUAGAGUAAGAGAUUACAGAGAGGAUUAGAUAUAAACCUUUGCUGCUGCAGUAAAUCGUUUUUCACUGUUGCCAACUAUGCAGAGGGGAGAGACUGUAGACUGGUAUUUCCCAUUGCAUUAUUGCUGACCCCAGUUAUUUCAAAGUGAUAAACCACUACCUGUCCCUGAUCUGUCAUAAACUACUAUGCUGUAUUGAAACCCAGGCAGGUUAAAGAGGAAAUAAUGAGCAUCCUUUUUCAUUGCUUUUUAGUUCUAGGGCUUUUGUGGUGAUGUUUCUGAGGUUUUUCUUGAUGACCCCAAGAGUGCAUAAGCUUCACCUAGAAGUGUGUGAUCACUUCAGGACCUGAGGCUUUGAGAUUGACACUAAAACUCAUGAGACCUACAGCACGCUUCUAAAGGCUUCAGUCACCUGCAGGGACCGGCUAAAGAGGACCCUCCAUCAUGGGGCUUAAAUGAUUACUUUGGACAGAGUUGCAAUCAUUUUUGUUUUACAGAGAGGGAGCCACAGAAGAGUGAUGUACUUACUGCUAGAAGCAAGGAUUUCUGGGGCUCUGCAUGAUGUUUAGCCGUAAGGUCUCCCUACCCUGACCAGUACCUAUGCUGGAGAGGAUGCUGACAGUCUCUGAUGCAGGCUUUGCAGCAGAGAUGAGCCCAUACUUGGUGCUAGGAAGAAGCAAAAAAAGAAGCUGAUGCUGGGCAGCUACUUACUUGUGAUUCCUGAGGAUGAGGUUCAUUUUAGACAAGUUCUGAAGAUCCAUCCCUCUAAUAGACCAAUACAUGUGCAGACCUGCAGAAAACACUCUUAAGAAAUCUAUUAGAAAUCCUGCAUGGAGGAAAAGGCCAUUGAGCUGCUGCACUGGGAAUGACAGGGCUUUUUUGUCUUUUAUUUUCCCCUUGCAGUUCACUUAAUCAGCUAAUGGUUUUUGCUGACAGAUAUUUAUCAGCCUGAACAUGCUUUCCCUGGUCUUGGAAAAAUAGAAAUCUUUACUCCUGGCUCCAAUAAAAAAAUCACCUCAGUAUCCCUGAACGAGCAAGUCUGGAUAUCAAUCCUUCUCUUGGCAUCUUAGCUCUGGGAGUCGUUAAGAAGAGAAUGGCAAAAGCAGAAAGCAAAGCCACCCAAGGUUAGAAACAGCCCUGACUAUUAUUAUUAAUUUUUUUUCAGCCAGAAAUUUCAUAUGUUUAAUGAGCUGAGGGGCAUAGCGUGCUAGCAGCUAUCCCCAGGGCUAGAAGCAAAGCUGCCCCAGCACAGCUCACUGCAACGUGUGAAACAGCCCCAUGCUGGUGUGGGAGGGUAUUUGUGGCACUGGUACUGCCAUGCCCCAUGAGCUGUUACCAGGACCUGGCUCCAGCAUCCCUAGCUCUGUUGCCCAUCAGAAGUCAUUUCACUGAAAAAAAGGCAGCUCAGUACCCUGUUAGUGGUUGAUUGCUUUUGCUCCGUGCAUGUCCCUCCCUGUCUGCAGAGCUAAUCCUCCUCUCCUUUACACCCUGUUUGCCAUCCUGCAUUGAUUUACUCCUUUCUUACACCAGUUUAGGGUGUUGAAAUCUGCUUUUCAGCCCUGUCUGCAGCAAGUGAAACUCCACGGAGGCACCUCUGUUUGGAUUAACCAAGUCUGGCCUUACAAAAAUAUCUCUUAAGCACAGCUCAGAAAAGCAAAACAUCCAAGAUAAGUUAGAUUGUGAUGUUAGAUUUAUUAUCAAGGAAACAAGCCGUAACUUCUGAGAUGCUGCUUGCCAUCAUAAAUGCAGUUAGACAUUCUUUCCAGUGCUAAUGAGAAUGAAGAUUGAUGUCCUUGCUUGUCCUCUCUGGUGGUGCCAGCAAACACUGGGGUCUUCCCUUUUUUUCUUCUCAAAGCACUUCAUGGUUCUGAAAAUUACUGAAGUGAAAUUUUACAAUGUGUGCCUGCUGGUUUGUGACUUCAGUACAUCUAGGAAGCCCAAACAGGCACAGGAUUUCAGGAUGUGAGAAGAUUCAAGGAAAGAUUUAUCCCCACUAAUUGGAAGUGAGAGAAAGUUUUCCAGUCUCAGAUUUCCUCACUACCAUCAGAGCCUGGCCGAGAGGUACAUCACCAUCACCAUGCUGUUUAAAAUAAUCUCUUGUGCUGUGCAUAAACGAGAGGAACAUUGAACUCGGGUGACAGCCCCAUGACCCUGGUCUCAGAACAGCAAAAUUCUUCAGCCAUCCUGGUUUGUCCUGUUGACACCCCAAGAAUGAGAGGGAGGGAAACCUCACAGGCAGAAGACCCUCCUGCCUGCUGGCUGCCUUGCCUCCCCCUUUACUGGCUUCAAGGAAGCAAGAGCAGGUGGGUGCUAGUCAGCAGCCAGCACAGUAAGAUUGGGUUCUUGGGAGUCUUCUGCAAUGACAACUGAUUUUGAGGAUGCCAAGACUAACCCCUUCGACUCUGAUUCCAUAAGAAUCAGCCAGCUUCGGCAAUGAAACAUCUGCAGCUAAUGGGAAGAGCAACUCACCCUGCAGGCAUCCGAACAGUUCAGCUUUGAAUCUCCUGGCCCUCAGCAUACUGUCAUCUCUCUGUCCAUCCACAGCUCCAAAAUCUGUAUGCUGUGCUGCAUCGGUUUAUUGCUUUAUAUAAGGUUUAUUACAUGCCAAAGGAUGCCCUUUUGCUUGUAGAGUGAUAUGCCAGCCACAGGUGUAUGUGAUGUAGCCUCAUUGGGUCUCUUUCUAUAAGAUCCAAUGCACAGGUGCUUUUUUGCAGCCUUGCAGGCUACCUGUGCUUGGAGGACCACACAUUGGGGAGCUGGGCUGUGUGUGCUGGAGGCCUGCUGGGCUACAGAGAGCUUCAAAACACGCAGGGGGAAGUCUCCAGCUGGGAAAAGACAAACUCACUCUGUUGAAUGUUUUAGGUCCAAUUCCCCAGCUAGUGCAAGCAAACAAGCAUCUGCUCACUUUAAUCCUCAUCUGUACUAAGCAAGGAUGUUGCUAUGCAUUGUCCAAACAGGGUUUUUGCAAAGGAAGGAAAGUAAACCCCAAGAUAAAUCUGUUGCUAAUGGCAAAUCCUUUGAGAAAGCCAAACACCACUCCAGGAGCUGCAGUGAGAUUCGGGGAGUGUCUCCCAGCUGCAGGCUCAGGAGCACCUUCAGCUUCAGUGUUACCCCAUCUUGCCUGCACAUGGUGUUUCCAAGAAGGCCAAAUACUGACUGCAGAUGUGUGAGCAGCCAGGUCCUGGCUUCUCCCAGCUGCACCCAGGGCUUUGCUUCUGCCCUUCUUGUCCACACAGGCUGGAGGCUCUGGGAGUACUUGCAGUCCCCAAGCCCUGUCCUGGCAUCCAGGCUGCCAUGCUCCAGGGUGGCUGCCAAAAGGGAUGGAGAACAGAAGGAAAAAGGUAGUUUGGCUCAUCACGAACUGUAAGUAGCCAAGCCACCACCUGUGGCAGAUCACAGACUUGUAUUAGACCCAUCUCCAUGGAGAUUAAACCCUGUUGCCACUCCAGAGGAUCAGCAGGAGAGCUCUGCUGAUGGCAAGGUGCACAAGGGUGAGAGGAAGUUUUGCUCGUGCUGCCUGCCAAGUCUAAUCAGGAUCUUUACACACCAGCUCCUAUAUGUUGGCAUCUCUCCGGGAACUGACAGACCUGUUCUUCCUAUUGUGCCCCAGGGAGCAAGAAACAUUCCAUGAGUCUCCUACACUGAUACUAGAGAGUAAAGCAAACACGGGACAGUGAGUUCCAGUGCCCUGGAGAGGAGGAGACACUGGGAGCAGCUCAGUGCCCCCCUGGAGCUCCCAGAAGGGCUGGUGCACCCCUCGACUUGGUUGUCUGCAUGCAAAGCAGCAGGAUGCAGCUGCCCUCACAUCUCUAGUCCAGCCCGGUGGCCUGUCCCCUGUGUUUUUACCUGGCAUGGCUUUUCCCUAGCUGAAAUGGCAGAGGGCUUCCCUUAUGUUUUGCCCACUGAGCUUGCCUGGGGCUGCAGCAGGUUUCCCAGCUGCAAAGCACUGUAAAUCACAGGCCAAAUGCGGCUGCCUCACAGCUGUGCAGAGAGGGCUCUAAGUCCAGGGUCACUUAGCUGCUGCACGGUAGCUCCAGAGAAGUGAUAUGUGGAUUAAAUUUCCAGGAGCUGGUAGGGCCAGACUCAAUUUUGAGCCACCAAUUUACCCGAUUAAAAAUAAACAGAGUGUUACAGACAGGCUGUGCUCAGUCACAGCUGAGUUUUAUAAACGUGGCUGGGCACUGGGAUGGAAAGAGUGCUUGCUUGGAGUCACUCUCUUUCCAUUCCCAAUCCAUGCUGCCUCGGGAGGAUUUGGGAAGCAGAAAGUUCGAGUCAGGGCCUCUGUGAAAUUCUGGCUGCUCUGAGAUUUUCCCACAUGUUCAUUAGACGUACAGCUCAUACAAGUUUAUUUCCAGAGGUUUUAAGGGCUGUGAAAGGCUCAUUGUAUCUAUCUGGUGUGAUACCCGUUUUUUGUGGGAGCUUGAACCUACGGCUUGCAAAGCAGAGAGGCACUAAACACUGUGUUGCUGCGGUGGUUAACAACUGGGUGAGGCGGCUCUUUUCAGUCCCAAUUUGGAAGUUGCAGGAGCCAGCAGAAAUACAGAGAUGCCAUGGAGGGAUGCCUGCCCUGCGCUGCAUCCCUUAAGGAUGCUUUUUAGCUGAGAUGCCCAUCCGUGCAGUCAGAGCUGUGAGAUGCUACUGUGGCAGAGCUGAGCCAUGCCAGCAGCCCCCAGGGAGCAGGGUCCCUGGCCCCCGCAAGGUCCCUCACUGUGGUGGGAACAGUGGGGUUAUCAGAACGGGGUGGCUCCUCUCUAAGAUGGAAAUUUCUCCUCUGGCCAGAGGCAGAGGUCUUGGCUUGCAUCCCUGCUCCCUGUCACUGAGCCUCGCCACCUUCCAGGGUUCACUUUGUUCACAAAGAGCCUCAGAUAAGCUUCUUGGCAGGGGUGCUCUGUUCUGCAUGGCAUUAGCAUGGCUCAGGACAGGGUUUUUUAAUAUUAACCUCUUGUAUCCCUUGGAAGAUGCAGCUUAGACACAGCCCCUGGGGCUGGGGCAGCAAGUCAAUGCUCUUCGUCAGUAGGAAGCAUCAGCAUCACCGCAGGGGUUGGCUUCCUCUGACUGCCAACACAGACCGAGGAGAUGUCAGCCUCCUUGGGUAAGCACCACGGAGGUAGCAGCAGUGCUCACCUGUGGGCUGAGCCCUGUGCUGGGGCACCCAGCGUGACCCAGAACCUUCUGCCUGGUGAGAACAGGCUUUGAACCCCCUCCUGUCAGAGCCACGGGAAAUCUUGGCAUGAUGAUGAGCAUGUGUGCCUGAGGCUGGGUCUGCAAAAUGCCUAAGGAAUGGUUGCAACAUAGGGGAACUUUUUUUUUCUUCACUGAGUAGUUUUAUGUGGAGAUGUGUUUCUUCAUGAGUUAAGCUUUUUUGCCAGCCUGAAAAAUCACCUUAACCCCCUCUGCUCAAACUCUUAAAACAAGCGGUUGGUGAUCUGGGGGAGCCAGUCUAAGGCAUCUCAUAAAGCACCUCGUGGGAUGCUGUAGCCGCUAACCAAAAGCGUGGCCUCAGAGUGCUGCAGCAUGCCCUGAUUCACAGGGAAGGGCUGGCUGGCAGCCGAUGUGCUGCCCUCCCCUGCCACUCAGCCUCAUUUAUCUUCGUUACUUGGGCUGUUUACGCAAGCAAAGAAUUGGCCAGAGGCGCCCGGCACCGCUGCGUGCCAAGGGAGGAAGUAGGCACCAGCACGAACUCUUGUGGCUGGCACCCAAUUGCCUGCACGCUCUUUUGAGAACAAAAAGCCAGGAUGUGGUCUCCGUGGCUCAGGGCGAGGGGUGGCUCUGGCCCCUUGCAUGGGUUGUGCCGGGGGUCCCGGCAAGGGGAUCCAUUGCCUCAUGCUCUGUGCUGGUGGCCCAAGGGCAUCCCACCAAGUGGAGAUGCUCGGGCACCUCCACACAAAGCUGCAGGGCACAGAGCUCCUGGGUACCUUUGCUUCCAAGGCUUGAGAAUGUUGUCCUUGGGUUUAGUCCACGUUUAAUCCUUUAUGGCAUGGGAGCUGUGGCUGAGCUUGUGGCUGAAGAGAGGUGACUUACUGCUUUGUUUGUAUCUCCCCUGGUCGCUGAGCUAGCACGGCCACUGGUGCCUUCCCACUUUGCUUCUCUUAUUCAAGCAGCUCCAGGAAAUCUCUGCUCACCCCAUGACCCCGCUGCAGAGAGAGGGGCAUCCUCCCCGUGCCUGGGGCUGGCG